rnacentral:rRNA from 1 species
ACACACGUGCUACAAUGGUAAAUACAAAGGGACGCCAAGCCGCGAGGUGGAGCUAAUCCCAGAAAAUUUAUCGUAGUCCGGAUUGGAGUCUGCAACUCGACUCCAUGAAGUCGGAAUCGCUAGUAAUCGUGGAUCAGAAUGCCACGGUGAAUACGUUCCCGGGCCUUGUACACACCGCCCNUCACACCAUGGGAGUGGAUUGCACCAGAAGUAGUUAGUCUAACCUUCGGGGGGACGAUUACCACGGUGUGGUUCAUGACUGGGGUGAAGUCGUAACAAGGUAGCCCUAGGGGAACCUGGGGCUGGAUCACCUCCUUAAACGAA